rnacentral:rRNA from 1 species
UACGAAGGGGGCUAGCGUUGUUCGGAAUUACUGGGCGUAAAGGGCGCGUAGGCGGUGUGUCAAGUCAGGCGUGAAAGCCCCGGGCUCAACCUGGGAACAGCGCUUGAGACUGGCACGCUCGAGUUCGGGAGAGGAUGGUGGAAUUCCCAGUGUAGAGGUGAAAUUCGUAGAUAUUGGGAAGAACACCGAUGGCGAAGGCAGCCAUCUGGACCGGUACUGACGCUGAGGCGCGAAAGCGUGGGUAGCAAACGGG